CAGCAGCCACGGUAAUACGUAGGUGGCAAGCGUUGUCCGGAAUUAUUGGGCGUAAAGGGCUCGCAGGCGGUUUCUUAAGUCUGAUGUGAAAGCCCCCGGCUCAACCGGGGAGGGUCAUUGGAAACUGGGAGACUUGAGCGCAGAAGAGGAGAGUGGAAUUCCACGUGUAGCGGUGAAAUGCGUAGAGAUGUGGAGGAACACCAGUGGCGAAGGCGACUCUCUGGUCUGUAACUGACGCUGAGGAGCGAAAGCGUGGGGAGCGAACAGGAUUAGAUACCCCCGUAGUCCCUGUCUCUUAUAC
rnacentral:rRNA from 1 species